GACGAACGCUGGCGGUGCGCCUAAUACAUGCAAGUCGAACGGUGAACGGGGCUUCGGCCCCCGGAUCAGUGGCGAACGGGUGCGUAACACGUGGGCAACCUGCCCCUCACUCUGGGAUAACCCCGGGAAACCGGAGCUAAUACCGGAUACUCCGGCCGGACCGCAUGGUCCAGCCGGGAAAGGUCCGCCGGUGAGGGAUGGGCCCGCGGCCUAUCAGCUCGUUGGUGGGGUAACGGCCUACCAAGGCUUCGACGGGUAGCUGGUCUGAGAGGACGGCCAGCCACGCUGGGACUGGGAUACGGCCCAGACUCCUACGGGAGGCAGCAGUAGGGAAUCUUGCGCAAUGGGCGAAAGCCUGACGCAGCGACACCGCGUGAGGGAUGAAGGCCUUCGGGUUGUAAACCUCUUUCGGCAGGGACGAAGCGAUCGUGACGGUACCUGCAGAAGAAGCUCCGGCUAACUACGUGCCAGCCGCCGCGGUAAGAC
rnacentral:rRNA from 1 species